UACAGAGGUCCCAAGCGUUGUUCGGAUUCAUUGGGCGUAAAGGGUGCGUAGGCGGCGCGGUAAGUCGGGUGUGAAAUUUCGGAGCUUAACUCCGAAACUGCAUUUGAUACUGCGGUGCUUGAGGACUGGAGAGGAGACUGGAAUUCACGGUGUAGCAGUGAAAUGCGUAGAUAUCGUGAGGAAGACCAGUGGCGAAGGCGGGUCUCUGGACAGUUCCUGACACUGAGGCACGAAGGCCAGGGGAGCAAACGGG
rnacentral:rRNA from 1 species